UACGGGAGGCAGCAGUGGGGAAUAUUGCACAAUGGGCGAAAGCCUGAUGCAGCUAUGCCGCGUGUAUGAAGAAGGCCUUAGGGUUGUAAAGUACUUUCAUCGGGGAGGAAAAACAAAACUAAUAAUUUUAUUUCUUGACGUUACCCGAAAAAGAAGCACCGGCUAACUCCGUGCCAGCAGCCGCGGUAAUACGGAGGGUGCUAGCGUUAAUCAGAAUUACUGGGCGUAAAGAGCACGUAGGUGGUUUUUUUAAAGUCAGAUGUGAAUCCCUGGGCUUAACCUAGGAACUGCAUUUUGAAACUGAAAUACUAGAGUAUCGUAGAGGGAGGUAGAAUUCUAGGUGUAGCGGUGAAAUGCGUAGAUAUCUGGAGGAAUACCUGUGGCGAAAGCGGCCUCCUAAACGAAUACUGACACUGAGGUGCGAAAGCGUGGGGAGCAAACGAGGAUUAGAUACC
rnacentral:rRNA from 1 species